GCCAUCCUUCCCUAAUUUGACUUCGUUUUUAGGAUGUCAGCUGGCAGAUGCAGAAGAAGCGAAACUGUGGAAAAUCCCUGAGACAAUGAAAGCAGUUAAAAUUGCACUGCAGAGGGAAAACCCACCACAGAGGAUGCCUGGGAAAAACAAGGACAAGGGUAACACAAAGGCAGCAAGAAGUCCUGGGACACUGCAGAAGUUCUGAAGCAGGAGCAGCCACAUGGUGAAAUCAACAUAAGAUUAAAUAUGUAUCAGAAUGUGGAUGGCCGUGUUUCGGAAUGUCCUCACACCUACCAAAACAGGCGACCUUUCAGCAGAGAGAUGGAUUUGGGGCUACUCUCUCCGCAGGCUCAGGUCGAAGAUUCGUAGAGGAACAAUUUAGUUUUAAGGACUUCAUCCCUCCACCUAUCCCUAACAGGCUGUAGAUUACCAAAACAAGAUUAAUUUCAUCACUAAAAGAAAAUCUAUUAUCAA
rnacentral:lncRNA from 10 species